rnacentral:rRNA from 1 species
GACGAACGCUGGCGGCGUGCUUAACACAUGCAAGUCGAGCGGUAAGGCCCCUUCGGGGGUACGACGAGCGGCGAACGGGUGAGUAACACGUGGGUGACCUGCCCUCAGCUCUGGGAUAAGCCUGGGAAACUGGGUCUAAUACCGGAUAUGACUCCAUGACGCAUGUCGUGGGGUGGAAAGCCUUGUGCGGCUGGGGAUGGGCCCGCGGCCUAUCAGCUUGUUGGUGGGGUGAUGGCCUACCAAGGCGACGACGGGUAGCCGGCCUGAGAGGGCGACCGCCCACACUGGGACUGAGACACGGCCCAGACUCCUACGGGAGGCAGCAGUGGGGAAUCUUGCGCAAUGGGCGAAAGCCUGACGCAGCGACGCCGCGUGAGGGAUGACGGCCU